AUUCGCGACUAUUUAGUACGUGUCGAUCGAUGCAGCCGCGGCAUGAGCGAUGAUUACAAGGCUUGAAAGUAACGGCGAUUGGAUAAGCGUAACAGAUGGUGCAGGUAUCGUCGUCGUCGCUGAUCAAUCUAGUCUCUGAGCGGGUUUCUUGGUUGUUCCCUCGCCGAGAACGAAAUACAGUGAGCUCAUCUGAAAACUCGGCUCCAUUAGGAGAGUUCCAGUCGUUCGCGGAGCCUCCUUAGCUUCGUGAGCUGUGAAAAAAUAGUAGCGAUUCGUAAAUUUUAUCCAAAUAAUAGACUUGACGCAAUACCGCAAUAUAAUUGUUAGAGUUGAUAAAAAUGUAAUGCGAUUAAACUUGCCAUGUUUGGAUGUUA